AGAAGAAGAAGAAGAAGAAGAAGAAGAAGAAGAAGAAGAACCCGGACAGGUCCAAUAGGUUCUGGCACUGGUCAGAUCUUGUGUAGCUGUGUCAAUAUAUCAAUGCGGGACUUUAACAGAACACAUGUCGUGACGUAACUCCUCCUUCCCGCUACAGUUUCUAAUAUAGUUCGUUAUCACUGUAAUGGAACACAUUAUUUUGCUCCAGACUGAACCGGGUCCAGUGGACUUCAGCUCGAGUUCACACUGAACCUUCACAGAAACGACUCAUCAGUUCAAUUCAGGGGGAACAUAUGGGGGGAGAGUUCCAAGGCCAAA